rnacentral:rRNA from 1 species
GGGCCCGCACAAGCGGUGGAGCAUGUGGUUUAAUUCGAUGCAACGCGAAGAACCUUACCUACUCUUGACAUCCUCAGAAGAGACUGGAGACAGUCUUGUGCCUUCGGGAACUGAGAGACAGGUGCUGCAUGGCUGUCGUCAGCUCGUGUUGUGAAAUGUUGGGUUAAGUCCCGCAACGAGCGCAACCCUUAUCCUUGUUUGCCAGCACUUCGGGUGGGAACUCCAGGGAGACUGCCGGUGAUAAACCGGAGGAAGGUGGGGACGACGUCAAGUCAUCAUGGCCCUUACGAGUAGGGCUACACACGUGCUACAAUGGCGCAUACAGAGGGCAGCCAACUUGCGAAAGUGAGCGAAAUCCCAAAAAGUGCGUCGUAGUCCGGAUUGGAGUCUGCAACUCGACUCCAUGAAGUCGGAAUCGCUAGUAA